rnacentral:rRNA from 1 species
AUUGAACGCUGGCGGCAGGCCUAACACAUGCAAGUCGAGCGGAUGAGAGGAGCUUGCUUCUCGAUUCAGCGGCGGACGGGUGAGUAAUGCCUAGGAAUCUGCCUGGUAGUGGGGGACAACGUUUCGAAAGGAACGCUAAUACCGCAUACGUCCUACGGGAGAAAGCAGGGGACCUUCGGGCCUUGCGCUAUCAGAUGAGCCUAGGUCGGAUUAGCUAGUUGGUGAGGUAAUGGCUCACCAAGGCGACGAUCCGUAACUGGUCUGAGAGGAUGAUCAGUCACACUGGAACGGAGACACGGUCCAGACUCCUACGGGAGGCAGCAGUGGGGAAUAUUGGACAAUGGGCGAAAGCCUGGUCCAGCCAUGCCGCGUGUGUGAAGAAGGUCUUCGGAUUGUAAAGCACUUUAAGUUGGGAGGAAGGGUUGUAGAUUAAUACUCUGCAAUUUUGACGUUACCGACAGAAUAAGCACCGGCUAACUCUGUGCCAGCCGCCGCGGUAAUAC